GUUGAUUUAUUUUUCCUAGUCACCAAGGUGUAUAAAAAUGUAAAAUGUCUGUGGGAAUAGAGCUCAAAUAUAUAUUUUUUCAUAUGAAUUAAUACGGGUGUCAAUAAUUGUGCCGCACAUAUAUUUAACAAAGAUUUCUUUUUUUAUAAAUGAUGUGUUUGCAAUUGUUUGAUAUCCAUGAGAGCAGAGUAUUUUGUGUAUUUUUUAAACAAAAGAUCAAAGGUUUAAACAAUAAAGAAAAAUGUCCAAAGCAUUAUUUGCUCAUAUUUACCAAGGGUGCCAAUAUCAGAGGAGGGCACUGUAUUUUUGCUGAAUAGAGUUGUCGCUUACCUAAUGUAU